ACAUAUGAAUAACUUUUGUAUAGAAGUCGUCAUACGAUGGAAGGCUUCGAAAAAUUGAUUUCCGUUAGUACGAAACAUAUAAAUAAAAUGAAAAAUAAAAUGAUUUCCGAAAUCCAUGUGAUAAUUUACUUUAUUCAAUUCAACUUUUAAAGAACUUUCAAUUAAAUCAAGAAUAUUUUAAAGACAAUGAUGAGGAUUCUUAAAGGUAUUGGCAGGCUGUACCUGACGACUUACCUUCCUGCAAUGAAAUUAAAAGAACAAAAACUUUCAAUAUUCAUUAGUCUAUUAAAAUUUUAUUGUCAUUUUUACAUGGUUUCUACUAACUAUAAUUGUAACAUGCGCAAGCUGGCAAUCAGGAUAUUUUUGAGCAAAAAUUAACAACGAAAACUACUAAAUAUUCAUAAUACACUAAAACUACCCGUUGUUUAACGGAAAAAACCCAUUGUAUUUUAACGGAAAAAUCCGUUUGUAAACGGAAACAUCCGUUUACAUGCGAUGAGUUUUUCCGUAAAAUAACGGGUAGUUUGGUCAUUGGCAGCUGCCGGAACUUUUCCGUAAAAAACGCGUUUUUUUUAACAGUGCAGUUAAAAAUUAUGUAAAUCACAUUUUUAAAAAUCAGAUGUAAAUGUUUUACUAUAUUAAGGUCAAAAGUUUGUUAUUGACUUUAUUUGAAAGAAUGUAGUAAAAUUUUUCUAUAGGGUAGAUUCGGGUAAUUUGAGCACCGAGUCAAUAUAAAUAUACCAAAAGAUAAGUUGCGAGCAGUGAUGUUCAAGCUGCAUUGUAUUUUUUGAACUGACUUUAUGAGGUUAUAAAAGAAAGCUGUGUAAAUAGCGUAAAUUUAUACGCAAUAAUUAACGUCUUUCAUCUAUUUAAAACACUACUCAAUUUUUUGUGAUUUUAAAUUAUUAUUAUAAAAAUAUGGUUUAAAAUUUUGAUGUUAUAAUUAUUUUAAUUAUUAUAAUUACAA